CCCUGAGUCACUUCUUCAGCUGUAGAGCGAGCAGAGUAUCCAGAAGGCCCCUUCCCCCCAAAAAUCCACAUCUAUGUUUCGCUCUUCCCCUCUUAAUUACAGAUUCAAGACACUACACAACAAUUAAUAGCAAAAACCAAGGCAAAGAAGAUUUACUUCACAGACAGAGACGAGUUAUAUCAGUGG